rnacentral:ncRNA from 1 species
UUUUGUUGGUGUUUUGAACAAACUUAAUAGGAAAUUCCGUUAGAAUCGGAAGCACUCCCGGUGCUGUGAUAGGGGACGAAAAGCUUUUCAUUAAAAACAAAUCACUGCUUUUUAUAAGCGGGAAGAUAAAGUCUAGUAGGUUAUUAUCCUUAAGCCAGAAGACCUGCCGAUAAAUAA